GCGAGCCACCUAACUCUACAGGGGCUCUGCUGUUGCCUCCUGAGAGAAGCCUGCGCAGCACGAGCCACUGCGCUGCGGACGCGUUAGCUAGCUGUUCGCUCCCGGACCAGCUCCAGGCGCUCGCAAGCAGGCAGCCGGGGAGCUGGCGGCGCGCCACGGGCUGCUGCUGCUGAUCCGGCGGGGCAGCAGGAAGCAACCCCUGCCGAGCCCCUCCCUCCUUACCCCGAGGCCGACGAGUGGCUGCGGGACACCCCCUCUUCGCCUGCAGCCCCGCCGCGCCACCCGCGAGGGCCGCAGGGGCCAGUGCAGCCGAUAAGGUUUGCGCGGGCUCGAGCUGGGUGGACCUACUCCGAGAUCCGGGAGGCAGGCGCCUUUGCCAUUUGCCUGGGCCACCGCACUGGUUUUUUCCCCCCUAGGUCCACGUUUCAUCUUGCUCCCAUCUCGCCCAGAUUUGGAGCUUUGCUGCGUCUAGAUCGCUUUUAGCUCUUGGCAGUAGUAAAGUUUCUGUGGUUUGGUAUUUACUCUUAUUUUUCUAGAAGGCUCUCCCCAGGCACCCGGCAGCGCGCGUGGUUCGACAGUCCCGGCGAAGGUCUCCACUGUGUGCGGGCUGGGAGAUCCUUUUCUUCUGCUUGACCCUCUCCUCCCGGUAGCCUGCGAUGGAGCAGGUUACCUGGCUGCCCCACUGAGAACCCCCGACUCGCCCGAGUCCCUCCUCCAGUGGUGUGUCGGUUUUUCUAAACCAGCUGCACAGCCGCAGGACGAGCGCCUGAGCCCCGGGAAGUCGGCUGGGAGUUACCUUGGAGGAAGAAAGAGACUUGAAAAACUUAAAAUCACUUUCCACUUCAAAGGCCUUGGGAGGUGUCCGUUUGAAGAGCAAAGACAUCGAGCUCAUCUUCUGCCAUCUGCAUGUGAAGACUCAAAACCCUGAAUGCACACUGUGGAAGUUCCUACCUUACGGAGCCAUCGAUGGAGGCAGUGAGCACCACUUGUCUGUCUUCUACGUAGAUUACCUGAAUAAUUUCUAAAGAGUGAGCACGCCAGUAUGAGCUAAGAGUAUACAUGGAAAGAGCAUCAGGUUAGAGGCCAAGAGCCCUGGCUCUAACCCUGAUUCAUUGGUAACUGCCCAUGUCAUCCUGAGGAAGCCACUCUCCAAUUUCUUCUCUGCAAACUGAAGAUAAUCCCAUGAAAGCUAAAUACCUGAACUUCAUAAAGACUACCAUGGAUUCUUGGAAACAACAACAAAGUCCUCCACAGAUAAAAUGAAAUAAUAUUUAAAACAAUAACCAUUCUAAAAUGCUCUGCAAGGAAUACAAUCCUAAUCUAUGUCGCCAUA